AUACGGAGGAUCCGAGCGUUAUCCGGAUUUAUUGGGUUUAAAGGGUGCGCAGGCGGCCAUUUAAGUCAGCGGUUAAAUCGUGGGGCUCAACCCCAUUCUGCCGUUGAUACUGGGUGGCUUGAUUGCGGUCGAGGUUGGCGGAAUUCGUUGUGUAGCGGUGAAAUGAAUAGAUAUGAAGAAGAACACCGAUUGCGUAGGCAGCUGGGCAGACCGCAAAUGACGCUGAUGUACGAAAGUGCGGGGAGCGAAGAGGAUUAUAUACCCUGGGAGUCCGCACAGUAAACGAUGAAUACUUGUUUUCGGCGAUAUAAUGUCGGAGGCAAAGCGAAAGCGAUAAGUAUUCCACCUGGGGAGUACGCCGGCAACGGUGAAACUCAAAUGAAUUUACGGGG
rnacentral:rRNA from 1 species